UACGGAGGGGGCUAGCGUUGUUCGGAAUUACUGGGCGUAAAGCGCACGUAGGCGGACUGUUAAGUCGGGGGUGAAAUCCUGGGGCUCAACCUCAGAAUUGCCUCCGAUACUGGCAGUCUCGAGUGCGGGAGAGGUGAGUGGAAUUCCCAGUGUAGAGGUGAAAUUCGUAGAUAUUCGGAGGAACACCAGUGGCGAAGGCGGCCCCCUGGGCCGUACCUGACGCUGAGGCGG
rnacentral:rRNA from 1 species